rnacentral:rRNA from 1 species
AGAGUUUGAUCAUGGCUCAGAACGAACGCUGGCGGCGUGCCUAACACAUGCAAGUCGAACGAGAAAGGGAUCUUCGGAUCCUGAGUAGAGUGGCGCACGGGUGAGUAACACGUGGAUAAUCUACCUGAUGGUCUGGGGUAACAUUUCGAAAGGAGUGCUAAUACCGGAUAAGCCUACGAGAUCCUCGGAGAUUGUAGGAAAAGAUGGCCUCUUCUUGAAAGCUAUUGUCAUCAGAUGAGUCCGCGGUCCAUUAGCUAGUUGGUGGGGUAAUGGCCCACCAAGGCAACGAUGGAUAGCUGGUCUGAGAGGAUGAUCAGCCACACUGGAACUGAGACACGGUCCAGACUCCUACGGGAGGCAGCAGUGGGGAAUUUUGCGCAAUGGACGAAAGUCUGACGCAGCAACGCCGCGUGAGGGAUGAAGGCCUUUGGGUCGUAAACCUCUGUCAGAGGGGAAGAAACCUCUGUCGGUUAAUACCCGGCAGAACUGACGGUACCCUCAAAGGAAGCACCGGCUAACUCCGUGCCAGCAGCCGCGGUAAUACGGAGGGUGCGAGCGUUGUUCGGAAUUAUUGGGCGUAAAGAGCAUGUAGGCGGUCUGUUAAGUCUGGUGUGAAAGCCCGGGGCUCAACCCCGGAAGUGCAUUGGAUACUGGCAGACUUGAGUAUGGGAGAGGAAAGCGGAAUUCCGAGUGUAGGAGUGAAAUCCGUAGAUAUUCGGAGGAACACCAGUGGCGAAGGCGGCUUUCUGGACCAAUACUGACGCUGAGAUGCGAAAGCGUGGGGAGCGAACAGGAUUAGAUACCCUGGUAGUCCACGCCGUAAACGAUGGGUACUAGGUGCUGCGGGUAACCACUCCUGCAGUGCCGAAGCUAACGCAUUAAGUAC